rnacentral:rRNA from 1 species
UUGUGGAGCGAUUUGUCUGGUCAAUUCCGAUAAUAAACGAGACUAGCCUACUAAAUAGUUCGAGGACCCCCACAAAGGGGUCCAGCUUAAACUUCUUGGAGGGGACAGGUGGCGUUUAGCCACACGAGAUUGAGCAAUAACG